AUGGCGGUAUACGUGACCUUCUGGGACGGCUCCACCUGGGCCACAGAGAAUGGCAAGCACAUUGUGGACUACGGGCACGAGCCCUUCACCGCCGAGUUCUCUGGCCUCAUGCUUUGCUCCGCCGACGCCGACAUCCGCCAGCUCCACCUUGUUGCCUCCACGCAGUGGUGCGCGACGGCGGAGUGGGAGCUGAUGACGGUCCAGUACACGGUCAUGAAGACCCUUAAGCGCGCGGCCAUGCGGCGAUUCAGGUGGAGGCAGAUGGUGUACAUGGUGUGCUACGACACAGACCGGUACCCGGCGGCACUGCUGGAGUGCGAGGUGAACGUGGCAGAGUGGCAGAUGUCCGAGCGGUGGGGCGAGUCCACGACCUCGUUCUCAUACUGGACGCCGCCGGCACCGUGA
rnacentral:rRNA from 1 species